rnacentral:rRNA from 1 species
AUGAACGCUGGCGGCGUGCCUCAUACAUGCAAGCCGAGCGAACAGAUGAGGAGCUUGCUCCUCUGGCGUUCGCGGCGGACGGGUGAGUAACACGUGGAUAACCUACCUAUAAGACUGGGAUAACUUCGGGAAACCGGAGCUAAUACCGGAUAAUAUAUUGAACCGCAUGGUUCAAUAGUGAAAGACGGUUUUGCUGUCACUUAUAGAUGGAUCCGCGCCGCAUUAGCUAGUUGGUAAGGUAACGGCUUACCAAGGCGACGAUGCGUAGCCGACCUGAGAGGGUGAUCGGCCACACUGGAACUGAGACACGGUCCAGACUCCUACGGGAGGCAGCAGUAGGGAAUCUUCCGCAAUGGGCGAAAGCCUGACGGAGCAACGCCGCGUGAGUGAUGAAGGUCUUCGGAUCGUAAAACUCUGUUAUUAGGGAAGAACAAAUGUGUAAGUAACUAUGCACGUCUUGACGGUACCUAAUCAGAAAGCCACGGCUAACUACGUG